AGAUCAGUGACAAGUGUGCAAAAAUUGAAUAUAUAAAUCAUGGUACAGAGAAAUUAUGGGAACAGAAAUAAUUAUACUGAAUAUUUAUAGAAACAGAAAUAAUGAUACAGAAUAUUUAUGGAAACAGAAAUAAUGAUACAGAAUUUUUAUGGAUAGAGAAUUAAUGGUACAGAACUUUUAUGGAUAGAGAAUUAAUGGUAGAAAAUAAUUAUGGAAAUAGAUUUUUGGCCUGUGCAUUUACCUGGGUGGGUUGGGUUUGGGUUGGUAAAUGCACAGGCCAAACAUGGUAAGCCUUCUGGAUGCAGAAGAAUUCCCAUGCAGUGCAGCGGCCGGUUUUGUACAAACCAGCCGCUGCACCUCAUGGUAAGCAGCUGUACUGCAGCAACUGCAGCACAGUUGCUGGUUUUGGACAUACCAGCAACUGUUUGCAGCAUCCAGAAGGCUUACCAUGCAGUACAGCUGCUGGUUUGUAUACAUCCAGCAGCUGGACUAAAGCUGUUCAAAAUAACUACAUCAAUACACCAGAAAGCAUGAGCUUUCUGGUGUAUUGAUAUACCAGCUGAUACCCACAGGGUGCAGGGCAUGGUGGGUUGGGGGUGGGGUGGGCAGUCAAAGGAACCAUCACUGAUUUAUUCAGCUAUUCACAGUUUCACUGCACUAUCUGUGUGUACUUUGAGCUGAAUGGCCAAAUCUUUUACACGAGGAUGUUUUUACCGGCAGAAAAGAUGUUUUUGUUUAGAAGUUUCUUUUUUAGACGUGUGUACUCCAGACAGGAGACGUGUUCUCCUGUGUCCUCUGUGACAACUUCAUCCAGCACAACCAUCUGCAGAAGAUCUACACCAUCACACUUCUACAUCAUCUUCAUGAACUAUUGGUGCAAACAAGAGACACCACUGCUGGACCACACAGAGAAGUCUUCUACAUGCUGCCAUCCCAGUUUUUCUUCAAGUAGGUGAUGAAAUGUCACCUCUGAAGCUUCACCUGACCACCUGACUGGGCCUGAGAAAGAUCAUUGACAUCAUGCUGCCAUGCUGCACACCAACAACAGAGGAAGCAAGACUUUACGGAACUACGAGACUCCUCCUCCUCCUGCCAGUGACCUGGGUUCCUCACAGUAGAAGAAAAGCUCUUCCUCUGCUGUGAGUCUUUCUCUUCACCAUCGAUCCUGAUCAUCAAUACUGUCAUCAAUACUCCCAAAACAUCUGGGUGUGAAACUGCACUGGCCAGGACAAGACUGGACCUGCAGCACAUUUAAGGACCAGUUCCAUGUUCAUGCCUGCAUGACACCAGCUCUUAAAAAGAGUAACCUGUGCUGACUCUUGAGUCAGAGACCAGUCAUGUUGCUGCAGGGAAACGUUGCUGAGGACCAUUCAACGUUUCUGGACUAAC